UCAAAGGCUCUUUUCAGAGCCACCCACAUAUCUCAAAUCAAAAGAG
rfam:Loxodonta africana unplaced genomic scaffold scaffold_44, whole genome shotgun sequence.